rnacentral:rRNA from 1 species
UGGGGAAUAUUGCACAAUGGGCGCAAGCCUGAUGCAGCAACGCCGCGUGAGGGACGAAGGCCUUCGGGUUGUAAACCUCUUUUGUCAGGGAAGAAGCGAAAGUGACGGUACCUGCAGAAAAAGCACCGGCUAACUACGUGCCAGCAGCCGCGGUGAUACGUAGGGUGCAAGCGUUGUCCGGAAUUAUUGGGCGUAAAGAGCUCGUAGGCGGUUUGUCGCGUCUGCUGUGAAAACCCGAGGCUCAACCUCGGGCCUGCAGUGGGUACGGGCAAACUAGAGUUCGGUAGGGGAGAUUGGAAUUCCUGGUGUAGCGGUGGAAUGCGCAGAUAUCAGGAGGAACACCGAUGGCGAAGGCAGAUCUCUGGGCCGUAACUGACGCUGAGGAGCGAAAGCAUGGGGAGCGAACA